GGGUCCAGGCGCCUUUUGCCUGGAGGUUAAUUUUACCGGUGGUCGGGCCGCCAUCU
rnacentral:ncRNA from 2 species